AACGAACGCUGGCGGCAGGCUUAACACAUGCAAGUCGAACGCAUCCUUCGGGGUGAGUGGCAGACGGGUGAGUAACGCGUGGGAACGUGCCCUUCAGUUCGGGAUAACCCAGGGAAACCUGGGCUAAUACCGGAUACGUGCGAGAGCAGAAAGAUUUAUCGCUGAAGGAUCGGCCCGCGUCUGAUUAGCUAGUUGGUGGGGUAAUGGCCCACCAAGGCGACGAUCAGUAGCUGGUCUGAGAGGAUGAUCAGCCACAUUGGGACUGAGACACGGCCCAAACUCCUACGGGAGGCAGCAGUGGGGAAUAUUGCACAAUGGGCGCAAGCCUGAUGCAGCGACGCCGCGUGAGGGAUGAGGGCCUUAGGGUUGUAAAGCUCUUUCGUCCGGGACGAUAAUGACGGUACCGGAAGAAGAAGCCCCGGCUAACUUCGUGCCAGCAGCCGCAGUAA
rnacentral:rRNA from 1 species